rnacentral:tRNA from 1 species
AUUUACAUAAAUUACAUAGUUUAUAUAGUUUAUAUAGUUUAUAUAGUUUAAUAUAGUUUUAUAAAUA